rnacentral:rRNA from 1 species
GAACCCUUUCGGGGAACGAUAACGGCGUCGAGCGGCGGACGGGUGAGUAAUGCCUAGGAAAUUGCCUUGAUGUGGGGGAUAACCAUUGGAAACGAUGGCUAAUACCGCAUAAUGCCUACGGGCCAAAGAGGGGGACCUUCGGGCCUCUCGCGUCAAGAUAUGCCUAGGUGGGAUUAGCUAGUUGGUGAGGUAAUGGCUCACCAAGGCGACGAUCCCUAGCUGGUCUGAGAGGAUGAUCAGCCACACUGGAACUGAGACACGGUCCAGACUCCUACGGGAGGCAGCAGCGGGGAAUAUUGCACAAUGGGCGCAAGCCUGAUGCANCCAUGCCGCGUGUAUGAAGAAGGCCUUCGGGUUGUAAAGUACUUUCAGCAGUGAGGAAGGGGGUGUCGUUAAUAGCGGCAUUUCUUGACGUUAGCUGCAGAAGAAGCACCGGCUAACUCCGUGC